rnacentral:rRNA from 1 species
UACGUAGGGGGCAAGCGUUGUCCGGAUUUAUUGGGCGUAAAGAGCGUGUAGGCGGCCAUGUAGGUCCGUUGUGAAAACUCGAGGCUCAACCUCGAGACGCCGAUGGAAACCAUGUGGCUAGAGUCCGGAAGAGGAGAAUGGAAUUCCUGGUGUAGCGGUGAAAUGCGCAGAUAUCAGGAAGAACACCCGUGGCUAAGGCGGUUCUCUAGUACGGUACUGACGCUGAGACGCGAAAGCGUGGGGAGCGAACAGG